rnacentral:rRNA from 1 species
GGGGAAUAUUGCGCAAUGGGGGAAACCCUGACGCAGCAACGCCGCGUGAAGGAAGAAGGUCUUCGGAUUGUAAACUUCUUUGAUUGGGGACGAUAAUGACGGUACCCAAGGAACAAGCCACGGCUAACUACGUGCCAGCAGCCGCGGUAAUACGUAGGUGGCAAGCGUUGUCCGGAAUUACUGGGUGUAAAGGGCGUGUAGGCGGGGAUGCAAGUCAGAUGUGAAAUUCCGGGGCUCAACCCCGGCGCUGCAUCUGAAACUGUAUCUCUUGAGUGCUGGAGAGGAAAGCGGAAUUCCUAGUGUAGCGGUGAAAUGCGUAGAUAUUAGGAGGAACACCAGUGGCGAAGGCGGCUUUCUGGACAGUAACUGACGCUGAGGCGCGAAAGCGUGGGGAGCGAAC